GCGAUCUCCUCCAUUAACGCUUCUCUUCCAUUGAUGAGAUCUAUUGCGCAAGUGUUUCCUACGGCAUCGAGUUGUGUUCUGCAUUUUCCCCAUCUCCAUCGAGCUUUAUUGAGCAUCUAGGUUUUUGAUUUUCUUCCUUGUCAGAAGAAAUUGGAGCUUUCUGAGCACUUGAAGAAAUACCUUGGUACCAGGCAUGAAUUAAACGGAGGAUUUACAUAGCUCUCAUUCAUAGAACAGAAGACAACUCAGAGGCAGCUAGUAGGGGAAUGGUUAAUAUAAUAAUA